rnacentral:rRNA from 1 species
GACGAACGCUGGCGGCGUGCUUAACCCAUGCAAGUCGAACGAAGUGGCGAACGGGUGAGUAACGCGUAAUCAACCUGCCCUUCAGAGGGGGACAACAGUUGGAAACGACUUCUAAUACCGCAUACUCAAGGUGGUGAUUGCGUCUGAUUAGCUAGUUGUAGGGGUAACGGCCCACCAAGGCGAUGAUCAGUAUGCGGACUGAGAGGAUGAACGGACACAUUGGGACUGAGACACGGCCCAGACUCCUAAGGGGGGCAGCAGUGGGGAAUGUUCCGCAAUGGACGAAAGUCUGACGGAGCAACUGCGCGUGAGUGAGGACGGCCUUCGGGUUGUAAAGCUCUGUUAAUCGGGACGCGGUACCGGAAUAGAAAGCCACGGCUAACUACGUGCCAGCAGCCGCGGUAAUUC